GUCCAAAGUUUUGAAGAGGGACUAAUUCCCAUUUUCUCUUAAAGUUAAGGGACCAAAAACAUAUUUAACCUUUUUUUUUUUAACAAUCUAUGCUUUUUACACCCUCUUUAGUACCCAUAACUCCAACUGAUGGUUUGGUCUCUCUCAAGUUCUAGUUGAAAUACUCAAAUUUUUAGGUUUGGAAUAUAGAGUUCUUUGAAGUAUUAGCCAUUCUAUAUUUUUUUGCCGGUUUACUUGGCGUUUAUUGUACUAGUAAAACUUAAAAGUCGUAUAUUUGGGUUUUUUGUUCAAUAUGUUGGAUAUUGUUAAUAGCAGUAGUAUUGUAUUAUUCUAGAAUCCUCUUAAGAAUUAUUUGGAUAAGUAAAUGCAUUUAAUUAUAUGAAAAUGUUGUAGGAAGAUCUCCAAUGGGGUUGCAGUGGGGGCUGUAAAAUUUCUACUUUUGAUUCCUUAAUUAGUACUCAAAAUUCGUUUGUUAACAAUUUUCUUCUAGUUAUUAUGAUGAGAAUUAAUAAUUUCAGUAGCUUCUGUGGUCUUUAGUCUUACUGAUGACAUGGUUUUCAAUGCAUUUAGGUCUUCACAACUCACCAUUGGAUGGUUCGGAUAUACAAGUUGAAACCACCAAAGAACAGGAUAAGAGGAAAGACUAAGAAGUCGAAAUCGAAAACAAGCUCAAAAACUGCCUCGAAAAGAAAAGGACUAAAGAGGAAUCCCUUUUAGUUUAGAUUUUUCAUUUCCUUGGGUAGGGGUAAGCUUAUUAGUGUGCGUUUCAUGUAUACAUGUAGACAACUAAUGCAAUUGCCAUGAAAGAGAUUUUGCCGGCAUGGUUGGUUACUCUCGAGUAUCGAAUGAUCAAAUGAAAAUUUUGGAAUUCCA